GACGAACGCUGGCGGCGUGCUUAACACAUGCAAGUCGAACGGAAAGGCCCUGCUUGCCGGGCGCUCGAGUGGCGAACGGGUGAGUAACACGUGGGUGAUCUGCCCCUUAUUUUGGGAUAAGCCUGGGAAACUGGGUCUAAUACUGGAUAGGACCAUGCUGUAGGUGGUGUGGUGGAAAGAUUAGUUUCGGUAAGGGAUGAGCUCGCGGCCUAUCAGCUUGUUGGUGGGGUAAUGGCCUACCAAGGCGUCGACGGGUAGCCGGCCUGAGAGGGUGGACGGCCCCAUUGGGACUGAGAUACGGCCCAGACUCCUACGGGAGGCAGCAGUGGGGAAUAUUGCACAAUGGGCGCAAGCCUGAUGCAGCGACGCCGCGUGGGGGAUGACGGCCUUCGGGUUGUAAACUCCUUUCAGCCAUGACGAAGCCCUUGUGGUGACGGUAGUGGUAGAAGAAGCACCGGCUAACUACGUG
rnacentral:rRNA from 1 species